CCCUCCCACGGCAGUGUGAGAGCUCUCUCUCCUUCUCUGUCUCUCUGCUAAACUCUUUGGGUCCACGAUAUUUAUUCAAACGAGAGAAGUUCUGAUGGAUUGAAGUAAAAUUUUGAUCCUUGGAGAUGCAAUAAUUUUGAGCCAGUAUCCAGUUUUGUCCUAUACUCUCUUCUCCAAUGUAUAGUUCUUUCUGAUGUAGCAAGAAGGCCCUUACCAGAUGCCAGCACCUUGACAUUGAUCUUUCUAGCCUCCAGAACUGAAUAUAAUCUCAGAAUAAAGAAGCAACUGAACAAAAUGGAAUAGAUGACUUGAGAAGGAGAAGAGAAGAAAGGAGACCAUAACAGUUAAGAGAAAAUAGUUAAUUCUAAGUGACAUUUGUGGCACAGCAAGAUUGAGAGUUUCACAGUACAAAGAAAGACGUAUCAGGAAAAAAGUUUCCUACUAUUACGGUGAUUAAGGGAUCCUUUCUAAGAUAGGAAGCAAAGUGCGUGAGGCAUGAAUUGAUUUCAGCAGCUUAUAACCAAGGUCUGAACUGUGAUUGGCAGGACAAUUUAGAUUCUAAGGAGAUGGGAUCCCAGAAAUCCAAAGAAGACGUAGGAGGUUGAUUAUAUUGGUCCUUUCAUUGAAUUAGAGAAUGUUCUUCACCUCAUUUCCUCUAAAAUAUCUUUUCAAAACAAAAUUACUUUAAAGAGCUUUUUCUCUGAG
rnacentral:lncRNA from 13 species